GACGAACGCUGGCGGCGUGCCUACUACAUGCAAGUCGAACGCAGUGGGGACGGGUGAGUAACACGUGGGUCACCUCCCAUCAGAGGGGAUAACACUUGGAAACAGGUGCUAAACCGAUACAGGAGGAUGGACCCGCGGUGCAUUAGCUAGUUGGAGAGGUAAAGGCAAACCAAGGCCACGAUGCAUAGCCGGCCCGAGAGGGUGAUCAGACACACUGGGACUGAGACACGGCCCAGACUCCUACGGGAGGCAGCAGUAGGGAAUAUUCGGCAAUGGACGAAAGUCUGACCGAGCAACGCCGCGUGAGUGAAGAAGGUUAUCGGAUCGUAAAACUCUGUUGUUAGAGAAGCGGUAUCUAAUCAGAAUGCCACGGCUAACUACGUGCCAGCAGCCGCGGUAAUUC
rnacentral:rRNA from 1 species